GACGAACGCUGGCGGCGUGCUUAACACAUGCAAGUCGAACGGAAAGGCCCUGCUUUUGUGGGGUUCUCGAGUGGGGAACGGGUGUGUAACACGUGAGUAACCUGCCCUUGACUGUGUGAUAACUUGAGGAAACUGGUGCUAAUACCGGAUAGGAGCUCCUGCUGCAUGGGGGGGGUUGGAAAGUUUCGGCGGUUGGGGAUGUACGCGCGGCUUAUCAGCUUGUGGGUGGGGUAGUUGCUUACCAAGGCUUUGACGGAUAGCCGGCAUGGGAGGGUGACCGGCCACCUUGGGACUAAGAUACGGAGCAGAGUGCUACGGGGGGCAGCAGUGGGGAAUAUUGCACAAUGGGCGGAAGCCUGAUGAAGAAGCGCCCCGUGCGGGAUGACGGCCUUCGGGUGGUAAACCGCUUUCGCCUGUGACGAAGCGUGAGUGACGGUAAUGGGAAAAGAAGCACCGGCUAACUACGUG
rnacentral:rRNA from 1 species